rnacentral:tRNA from 1 species
AAAGAUAAUUAAAUUAAUUUGCAAAAUUAAUUGUUCUUAUUAAAGAUAUCUUUU